AUGAACGCUAGCGACAGGCUUAACACAUGCAAGUCGAGGGGUAACAGGGUAGCAAUACCGCUGACGACCGGCGCACGGGUGAGUAACGCGUAUGCAACCUGCCUAUAACUGGGGAAUAGCUCCCUGAAAGGGGAAUUAACACCGCAUAACACUAUUGAUUCGCAUGGAUUAGUAGUUAAAUGUAGCGAUACAGGUUAUAGAUGGGCAUGCGUGACAUUAGCUAGUUGGUGAGGUAACGGCUCACCAAGGCUACGAUGUCUAGGGGUUCUGAGAGGAAGGUCCCCCACACUGGUACUGAGACACGGACCAGACUCCUACGGGAGGCAGCAGUGAGGAAUAUUGGUCAAUGGGCGCAAGCCUGAACCAGCCAUGUCGCGUGCAGGAAGACUGCCCCCUAUGGGUUGUAAACUGCUUUUAUAGUAGAAGAAACACAUCUACGAGUAGAUGUCUGCCAGUAUACUAUGAAUAAGCAUCGGCUAACUCCGUGCCAGCAGCUGC
rnacentral:rRNA from 1 species